rnacentral:rRNA from 1 species
GAUGAACGCUGGCGGCGUGCCUAAUACAUGCAAGUCGAGCGAACAGACGAGGAGCUUGCUCCUCUGACGUUAGCGGCGGACGGGUGAGUAACACGUGGAUAACCUACCUAUAAGACUGGGAUAACUUCGGGAAACCGGAGCUAAUACCGGAUAAUAUAUUGAACCGCAUGGUUCAAUAGUGAAAGACGGUUUUGCUGUCACUUAUAGAUGGAUCCGCGCCGCAUUAGCUAGUUGGUAAGGUAACGGCUUACCAAGGCAACGAGGCGUAGCCGACCUGAGAGGGUGAUCGGCCACACUGGAAGUGAGACACGAUCCAGACUCCUACGGGAGGCAGCAGUAGGGAAUCUGCCGCAAUGGGCGAAAGCCUGACGGAGCAACGCCGCGUGAGUGAUGAAGGUCUUCGGAUCGUAAAACUCUGUUAUUAGAGAAGAACAAAUGUGUAAGUACCUAUGCACGUCUUGACGGUACCUAAUCAGAAAGCUACGGCUAACUACGUG